rnacentral:piRNA from 1 species
UUAGUCAAGGUUGUCUAAAGGAAGA